CUCAACUUCAAGGAGAAAUGAUGAAUAAACACCAGCACUGAGAUGACAGAGAGGUUUUAAUUAUUUGACAAGAUCAAAAGUAACCAACAUUUCAAAAUAACUGCUUCAAUGAGCAAUUACAAAGAAAGUUGAAAUGAACAAAAAAUAGAAAGUUUUGGCAAGGAAAUAGGAGAUAUAAUGAAGAAUCAAUUAGAAAUUUUAUAACAAGAAAACUAUAACAACAAACUAAAAAACUUAUAACAUGUUCAAGGUCAGGCUGGGCAACUUAACCAGACUUGUCUCAAAAUAAACAAUGAAAAAGGGCUAGCAUGCUUGAGGCCCUGGGUUUGAUCCUUAGUACUGCAGGAGGAGGAGGUGGCAAAAUGAGGCAGAAAUCAAGACAUUCUCAGACAAAGAAAAGCCAAGAGAAUUUGUGCCAGCAGACUCACUCUAAAAUAAUGGCUAAUGGAAGUUUUCAAAACAUAAUGAUAAAAGAAGAAAUCUUGGAAUCUCAGGAAGGAAGAAAGAAUAGAAUGAGCACAAAUAUGGGCAAUUACAAUAGACUUUCCUUCUCUUCAGUCAUCUAUGUUUGAUAACUGAAGCAAUGAGUAUAAGAUUGUGGAUCUCAAUGGAGGAAAUAUUUAACAUAAUCUUAUUAGAAAUGGG
rnacentral:lncRNA from 1 species